ensembl:lncRNA
AUGGCUACAAAAGACUGCGCACCCUGGCCAGACCUGGACAAAACGAACACCUCCCCUGUCAUCCGCCACCUUGUGGAGAACAUGUCAGAAGAGCAAUGGAAAGUUGUCCAUGAAGCACUGUGUGAACCUAAUUCUACAGUUGAACUUGGCCAUCUUUGCUCAAACAUAGUCAAGGCAGUAACCCAGACUACCCAUCAUCACCUCCUUCCAGCCCUCAGCAAGGUGCUGGGCGUACCUUUGAGGUCUCUGGUAGAGUCAGGAAUGGCUAAACCAAGUGAACGUUCACAUUGGUCCCAGGUCUCUCAAUACCAGACAGCCCUGUGUGAGUUAUUUGGAAUCACAGAGGAUUCACUCUGCAAGAACCUUCAUGGGUGCCUUCAGCAGUCUCAGAGGGAUGUCGUUGGACUGGUGUGUCUGCAUGUGAAUUCAGUCAUUGACCUGGCUCUAAAACAGCACAUCCUAAAAGAUGGAAGACCGGCUGAGUUCACCGUGACAGAAUCCGCUAUCCGGGCUGUGAAAGACCUGGUUUGUGCGGUGUCUACCCAGGUAGAUACCGCCUCUGCAAACAGGACCUCCUCCAUGACACAGGUUUCCUCACUUGAAGAAGGCUCCGUCACUAACUCUGGGCUGGUAUCUGUAACGAGAGCCGUCAUGAACGCCAUCACUGACCACAUGAACGACUGCCUGGAUGGAGAGGAUCUGGAGAAGGUAGGGGGGGUUAUCUUUACUGUGAUGGAGAGAGUCAACAUGCUGGCAUCCCAAAAUGCAUCACUGGAGAGCCCUAUUUGCAACAGCCUUCCCAAGCUCACUCAAGAUCAGAUGCUGGAUAAUGCUGAUUGGCCCAGCAGUCUAUGUAUUCGAAGCCUGCAAAAACUGUCCACUGAAAAUUUCCAUGCAAAGGCAACAGAGGCUAUAAGUGAAGUUCUCAUGAGAAACUCCAGUUGUCUGCCUAGCAGAGCAGCUUCCAGCCUGCAAAAUCUCCAUAGCAUUCCAAAGCACAAUCAUCUCUCUGCAUCUUGCCAUUCUAUUGAUCAGGCUGCGGCUGUAGUGGAGACAUUUAUUGAGGAGAUCAAAAACAUUGCCCAAUAUGCACAUUACCUAACUGAUGCAGACCUUCUAGUGAGCGAGAAUAGAAGAUCUCCGGAGACCCACAGCGAUUAUGCAGCAUCUGUCAGUAGUGACAGAAGCAAGGCCGUAGCUGCAGCACACAUGAUGUUCUCCAAAGUGCAGAUGAAACUGAUGGAGCUUUAUUCCUGGCCCGCACUGACCGAAGGCUCUGUUUCACCGACUGGUGCAGAGAGCAUAUCAAGCCUACCUCCGAUAAGUCAGCAUCAGAUUGACUCAAUUACAAGGGAUGUGGUGAACGAGAUUAUGAACAUCUAUUACGAUGAGGAUGAAGACCAAAAAUGCUUCGCCCACAUGGAGGACAGUUUCUCACAGGUGUCUGCGGAGGCCCAUGAGUUUGUUGACAGCAUUAUGACUCAGCUAGACAACUUCACUGGUGCCACCCCCGCAGAAUCCAUAGACUCUCCCCCACCUUCAGAGCAGGCCUUCCCUGAGCAGGUGAGCAGCGUCAGCAGCAAAUGCUCUGACAUUUCUAUCCUGAACCUUCAGGUGAUCACGAGUGAGAGGUUUUUCACAGAGGCCUCAAGAGUUGUGAAUGACACACUGUUGAAAUAUGUGCGGAGUUCGACAUCUUUCAGCAGUCAGGUUCUAGACUCAGAUGUGUCUGCUUUCUCUGAGGGAAAUUUGCCCGUCACCCCUCAGAAUGUGGAUUUAGCAGCGUUUGAUAUAAUUCAGAGUUUUGUGUCUGAAAUAAAGUUAUGUGCUGCAUCGAUCGAGGCACUUGCCUCAGAAUUACAGAUGGGUGGUGACCUUUUAGAGAGUGGAAGCUCAUUGCCAAAUAUAGCGACUGGUCAACCUGAGAAAAUACCUCAGCAUUACCUCCAGAAAAAGAUUUUGACUUCUGUUACAAGUAUUUACAACAGCAUGCAUGAUAAAGUCCAGCAGCUCUUUACUUUAUAUGAACCCCUUCAGAAAGAGUCAUCAGUAUCAUUAGUUCAGCAAGAUCAUCCAUUUGAACAAGAUAAAUGUGCUGAGGAAUUGAAUGCUGAGAGCAGUACAAAAGAAAUUAUUAGACAGAUCUCCAGUUUGGUUAAAACCGCAAUAGGAAACUUGCCAAAACCUGCUUGCAUGAAGUCUUCUUGUGCCUCACUGAAGUUGGGUUCCUUUGUGGAUGAGGUGAUGUCUGAACUCAAGGACAUGCCUGCUUGUGCUUAUGUCACAUUCCUGGACAUCUUACCAGCAAAUCUUCACGACUCAAUUUCUUUAAUUGAAAAACUCUCUGACAGAGAGUUUCAGACAAAGGCAUCUCGCCAAGUGAGUGAAGUCUUGCUUAAAUCCAUGAUAAGUCAAUCAUCACUGGUGAAUUCAGAGCCACGUGAGAAAGCUACAGGGGACACAGAUUGCAACGAUGUCCGCAGUUUUUUUCCGUCUGCUCCUCAGUCACAGUCCGUUGCAUUUGAUUUAGUCAGAGAGGCCAUUGAGGUGACAGUGGAACGCCUCAUUACCUCGGGCAUCUACUUUCUAACCCAAUCAACAGCAAGUGAUAUAGUUGGGAGUGUUACAGCGUCCAUGAAGGACCUUCUGGAGGUCAAAUUGUCCUCUGAAGCUUUGCAGCUCACAAAGGGGGACAGUGCAAAAGUCUCACAAGCUUACAAUGCCCGUGUCAUUGUCGACAGGAUCUGCUUGACGGCUCACCAAAUUGUUACUAAUAUUAAGAAAAAGAUGACAGAAUGUUUACAUAAACAUGAGUCGUUUGCUCACAAAGACAAGAGAGAGGCAUCUGCCAGGAAAGCCAUCAGUCAAGUGCUGGUUUCCAUCCAAAAUGAACUUCCUGACACUGAGGGAGCGGAAAACUCGGAGCAAAUCAAACUGGUUCAUGACCUCCUCUCCACUAUGACAGAUGAGAUCGAGAGCCUGGACACGCAAUCAGACCACAGACAAAUGAGCUCACAAAGCCUCCAGGCUUCUGAGUCAGACAUUUCAAGACCAGCUCCUCCAGAUCUCCUUUCAAGCAGAAGAAGGCCCAGGCAGUUCCUUUCCCAAACAAGCGUGAGAGAAUACUCCCGCAGCCUGGCCGAUCAGAUCUAUCAGAUCCUCAGAAACAGUUAUGACCCCUUGGUCUUGUUCAUGCCUGCUGGAAAGAUUGUUUCGGACUCCUGCCUUUCUGUGGUACCAUGCAGAGAUGAGGAAAAGCAUGAAACCCCCUAUGAUCUCAUAUACAGUUGCGUGGAGGAGUCAGUGAAGCGUCUCAUACUUUCAUGUUUCUUCCCUUUGACGUCAAGGGAGAAUCAAGAGAGGAUUUUGCGACACUCUUUUGACUCAGUUUCCAGGAGCGGUUCACGCAAUUCCCCUUCAGUGCAUUUGACACACAACAUGGAGGCCUCAAAAUCAUCACCCCAGGUGUUCAGAAGCACAAUCAAUGUGCUCACUCAAGUACUGGCCAAAGAAGUCAUGGAGAGGUUGUCUUUCGAGGUAAAUGAAACUUUACCUGUUGAAAGUGAUAAUGAUACUAAGACCUUCAGGCAGUUAUCUGCAAGAGAAGAGCCAGAACCACCAGGCAAACAGAUGGAGGCUACGACGCCAAAGACCUGUCUGGCGGUUGCGGACAUGGCAGUUUUUGAAACUGUCAUGGGAUUUCCUCUCUCACCACCUGAGUCAGAAGAGGCUAGCAGCAGUGACUACGCCUGCCUUGUCUCCAUGCUGGUCAUACGACUUCUAUGCAGAACAAGUAGCUCACGCCAUGCUAUAGGCAAUCAGCAGGAGGGUCUCCGUGACGACAUGCUUGAUAUGUCCCGAGAGCUGAUUGAAAAGAUCCUGUCCGAGCUCUUCCUAGCCUCUGGAAUCACAAAAUGCCAGAACUACCCUGAGGACAUGAAGAUUUUCCGGAUUUACGAGAACAUUUACCAGGACCUCGUUGAGGAGUAUGGGUCUGUCAGAGGACUCAGGUCAGCCGCAGAGUCUCGGGAUUCAUCAUUUGAUGCGUCACUGGUAAAAUUGCUGAUGAAGGAGGUACACCAAGAUCCUUCAACUGGAAGUGCUCCUGAAGUAAAGGGUGAGAAAGGAACCAAGAACAGCACUGAGAAAUGUAUGGCAUUACCCCAAAACCCCAUUAAGAAGAAGCAGGACUGUGAUGUAGCUACCACUGAUACAAAUACAACCUUUACCACCAAACUCCAGGGGAUGUUAAAGGGUCUAAAACCAUUCAGAAGCUGCCCCUUUAGGAUUCCAAAAGUUCCAAAGUUGAUGUCUACUUUCAAGAUACCUAGGAAUUACAAUGAGAUUGCCCCAUGUUGGAAACUGGACUGCUCUAAGGAUAUCGUUCCGGCGGAGGAAAACCUAGCCUUUACUACCAAACUCCAGGGGAUGUUAAAGGGUCUAAAACCAUUCAGAAGCUGCCCCUUUAGGAUUCCAAAAGUUCCAAAGUUGAGGUCUACUUUCAAGAUACCUAGGAAGUACAAUGAGAUUGUCCCAUGUUGGAAACGGGACUGCUCUAAUCUAAUCGUUUCGGCGGAGGAAAACCUAGCCUUUACUACCAAACUCCAGGGGAUGUUAAAGGGUCUAAAACCAUUCAGAAGCUGCCCCUUUAGGAUUCCAAAAGUUCCAAAGUUGAGGUCUACUUUCAAGAUACCUAGGAAGUACAAUGAGAUUGCCCCAUGUUGGAAACUGGACUGCUCUAAGGAUAUCGUUCCGGCGGAGGAAAACCUAGCUUCCAGCUAGACCAAUGAACUUUGCUAUUUCUGUGGUGAAUGAGGCCGUAUCUCGCCAGCUGACUCCACCAUCUUCUACCUCACUGACAGGAGAUUCUUGGAAAUUCUUUUUCUUUUUCAACGGGCUUUCCAGCAAGUCCUUUCACAGCUACAUAACACCCUAUUGAUUUCAGAUCAUUUAAUCCAUCGCUUUACCUGACCUAUCAUUAAAAAAUUCUUAUGGAUGGUCU